GGUGUAUUCACAGAUCGUUUAAUGCCUGUAGCUGUUGUACGCACUGGAGAUCGAGCUGCGAAGAGAUGCUUCAGGAUCACAUGAUCACGAAGCUGCUGAUAGAAUUUGACCUUUGCUGAAAAUCAAAGGUAAGUUCUGUCUCCCAUUAAUUAAAGCGAGUAAUCCAUCUCAUGUGUUCGUGAACAUUUAAAUUCAUAACAUUGGUAAUAUACUGAAAUUCUCCAGCAAUCUGUUUAGCACCCAAGUGGGUUGUUAUUCCCAGUGCAGCAGGGAAAAUAAACGAUUCCAAUGAGCUGCAUGCAGAGGCGAAGCGAGCAAUAAUUCAGCGACACAAGACACAGUGUACAGCAUUAUAAAAGAAAAAAAACUAAGAGAAUCUGAGAAAAAUCACAUAAUCAUAUUUUCUGCUUGAUUAACCUAACAAGUACACUUAUGCAAUACAAUGCUAUCAUUUCAAAGAUUAGUAAAUACCUCAAAAACCGAGACAGUCCUGUGUCCAGAUCCUUUGGUGAGAUGAGACGCGAGGAGCGAGAAAAGUCAGCUGACUUCAUUCAGUGGAGAGCUGUCGUCUGCUGUCGUCACAGCACGUUCUCCCUCGGCAGAGUGAACAGCGAGCGCAGAAAACUCCGUGUCGCCCCCAAGUCUUAAAAAUAGCAACAAAAACAACAACAAGGAAACAAUCGCAAUCUUAAAUCUAUUUCAGCUAUGUUUCCUGGUAACUAUCACCUUACAGUUUUAAAUGGUCUGUUAAUUGUGUACCAUAAUGAUGAUUAUUGCUUACACAAUGCACUUAUAACAUACACAUGCAGUCAUAACACAAAAACAGAUGUGUUUCUCUGUGUGUUUUACAUUAGGGCCUUUAAGGUGGGAAGUCGAAAUGCUGACCAUCUGAACAGUGAGUCAAAAUAAUUCAUUUAAAUAAUUUAUUAAUGCACUUUAUUAUCUUUAUAAAUAUGAGUGCUUAUGUUUGAUACUUCUCACAUUAUUACUAUUUUGGUAGUCUUAUGUGAAAUAUGGUUGUAAAUUUAUUAUUAUAUGUAGAAUGAAUAAAAAGUAUUUUUUCUGCCUAAUUAGUUUUGUA
ensembl:lncRNA